rnacentral:rRNA from 1 species
UACGAAGGGUGCAAGCGUUACCCGGAAUUACUGGGCGUAAAGCGUGCGUAGGUGGUUCGUUAAGUCUGCCGUGAAAGCCCCGGGCUCAACCUGGGAAUGGCGGUGGAUACUGGCGGACUAGAGUGCGGUAGAGGGUGGUGGAAUUCCCGGUGUAGCAGUGAAAUGCGUAGAGAUCGGGAGGAACAUCUGUGGCGAAGGCGGCCACCUGGACCAGCACUGACACUGAGGCACGAAAGCGUGGGGAGCAAACAGG